GAUGUUGACAGCGACCGCGAGCUUGAGGCGUGGAUAAAGUCGUGCGUGCCAGGCGAUUGGAGGGCCUCCGAAAGCAUCACUGUCACUCAUUCUGAAGAGUAGUAUUUCUGUUUUUCAAUUUUUGUUUGCAUGAAAGCCAUACGUUUUGCCCGAAACGUAAUGGUCCAUUGUAAGGGCCAUCUCAUGUGUUUCAUUAUGCGACAUUUU
rnacentral:lncRNA from 1 species